rnacentral:rRNA from 1 species
UAACUAAAAUUAAUGGUAAGUUAUCAAUUUCCCGAACGAAGAAGAUCUAACCAUUAUAAUAUAUUAGUAUUUAAUUAAAGAUAAUAUUACAUAUAUUAUAAUUAUUAAUAACGGUUAGGGGUGAAAUGCUUACAAUUCUUAUAUAUCUGGAUUUAUAUUAAAUAUAUUAAGUAUAGGAUAAAUUCUCAUGAUUAAAAUGUUAAGAUUUUAAUUUGUAUUAAAAAUCUAUAUAAUUAUUUAUAAUAUAAGUGCUAAUCCUCUUAUAGAUUAUAAUAAAAUAAUUAAUUUAGUGUAAAUUAAAUAAAAUAAUAUAAUACUUUAUAUAUUUAAUUAUAAUGUUUAUAAUGUUUAGAUUAGUAAUAUAUACUAAAUUUAUAAAAGGAACUCGGCAAAUUUUUUUUUCGCCUGUUUAACAAAAACAUAGCUUUAUGAUAUAAAUAUUUAGUGUUUUCUGCCCUGUGAUAACUUUUAACGGCCGCAGUACCAUGACUGUGCUAAGGUAGCAUAAUAAAUUGGCUUUUAAUUGGAGUCUAGAAUCAACGAAUUGCCGGAAAAAUACUGUCUCUUUAUAAUUUAAUUAAAGUUAUUUAAAAAGGUGAAAAUACCUUUAAUUUUUAUAUUAGACAAGAAGACCCUUAGAAUUUUAAUAAUAUAAAUUUAUAAUAAUUUAAUAAUUUUUGUUGGGGCGACAAGGUAACAGAUAACUUACCUAUAAAUCUUAUUACCUGUCAUUUUAUAGAUAGUUAGAUAAAAUUACCUUAGGGAUAACAGCAUAAUAUUGUUUUGAUUGUGACCUCGAUGUUGGAUUAGGGAAAAUAAUAGCUAGUAGUUAUUAUAUUUAGUUCUGUUCGAACUUAUUUACCUACAUGAUCUGAGUUCAGACCGGCGUAAGCCAGGUCAGAUUCUAUCUUUUAUAUGUAAUUUUC